UCAGGUAUAGCUCAAGUGGUAGAGCGCGUGCCUAGCAUGCAUAAGGUCUUGGGUUCAAUACCCAGGACCUCUA
rnacentral:tRNA from 1 species